rfam:Picea glauca, whole genome shotgun sequence.
ACAUGCCUACAACAUAGCGUUAAUUCAUCGAAUCCCAUUAAAAAUUCACAGCUAAGCGCACUUAAGACAGGGUAGUACUAGGAUGGGUGACCGCCCAGUAAGUCCUAGUGUUCGACAUGCC